UACGGAGGGUGCAAGCGUUAUCCGGCAUCACUGGGUUUAAAGGGUGCGUAGGCGGUGGUGUAAGUCAGUUGUGAAAUGCCCCGGCUUAACCGGCGGAAGUGCGAUUGAUACUGCAUCACUUGAAUCAGGAUGAGGCAGGCGGAAUGUGGCAUGUAGCGGUGAUAUGCGUAGAUACCAGGAGGAAAACCGGUGGCGAAGGCGGCUUCCUGGACCGGCUCUGACACUCAUGCGCGAAAGCGUGGGGAGCAAACAGG
rnacentral:rRNA from 1 species